rnacentral:rRNA from 1 species
GAUGAACGCUAGCGGCAGGCCUAACACAUGUAAGUCGAGGGGCAUCAUGGCGUAGCAAUACGCUGAUGGCGACCGGCGCACGGGUGCGUAACGCGUAUGGAACCUACCCACCGCAGGGGGAUAACCCGCCGAAAGGCGGACUAAUACCCCAUGGUUCCCCGACCCUGCCUGGGGUUGGGGGUAAAGCCUACGGGCGGCGGUGGAUGGCCCUGCGUGCCAUUAGCUGGCUGGUGGGGUAAAGGCCUACCAAGGCGACGAUCAGUAGCUGGUCUGAGAGGACGACCAGCCACACUGGGACUGAGACACGGCCCAGACUCCUACGGGAGGCAGCAGUGGGGAAUUUUGGACAAUGGGCGAAAGCCUGAUCCAGCCAUGCCGCGUGAGUGAAGAAGGCCCUCGGGUUGUAAAGCUCUUUUGUCCGGAAGAAAAGCGCCGGGUUAAUACCCUGGUGUCCUGACGGUACCGGAGAAUAAGCACCGGCUAACUUCGUGCCAGCAGCCGCGGUAAGCAUACUCGUA